rnacentral:rRNA from 1 species
GUAGGGUGCAAGCGUUAAUCGGAAUUACUGGGCGUAAAGCGUGCGCAGGCGGUUAUGUAAGACAGUUGUGAAAUCCCCGGGCUCAACCUGGGAACUGCAUCUGUGACUGCAUAGCUAGAGUACGGUAGAGGGGGAUGGAAUUCCGCGUGUAGCAGUGAAGUGCGUAGAUAUGCGGAGGAACACCGAUGGCGAAGGCAAUCCCCUGGACCUGUACUGACGCUCAUGCACGAAAGCGUGGGGAGCAAACAGGAUUAGAUACCCUGGUAGUCCACGCCCCUAAACGAUGUCAACUGGUUGUUGGGUCUUCACUGACUCAGUAACGAAGCUAACGCGUGAAGUUGACCGCCUGGGAGUACGGCCGCAAGGUUG